GUCAAUGACAGAUAUACAUUUAGCGAAGUUACAUUUGUCUCCAUAAGAGGCGCUAAAAACAGUUGCUCAUCAGGCAACGUUGGAAUUAUGGCGCACCAAGCUCACUAAGAGGCUGGAGUAACACGAGACGCAACGGACGAAGCAUCUUUGUGGUGUAUUAUACAUGCAUCUCACGUUUCAUACCGCGUGUUUGCAGUUGUAUCUCCUUGAAUCUUUUACAUCCAACCAUUUGAGGUGUGAAGCUGUUAACAAUGGGAAAAAUGUGUGUAAUGGAAAAACUUUUGAUUGGUAUCUGCCUUCAUGGUUCAACAAAAGUUUUAUCACCGACUAGGAGUAGUAGAUCUACUCCUAGUCUGUGGUUUUAUGGUGAAGAUUUAUGGUAGAAGAAUUUAGUAGGAGGAAUGUCGAAGGAGCCAGAGUUGUAGGACUGCUUAAGUGAUAAAAAAAACCGUCAUUUUGCUUUUUAUUUGUGUAAGAAUCCGUAACUGAAUGCUAGUUCUUUUAUAGGUGUAACACAUUGUGCUUAUGAGAUGUUAAUGUUGGCACUGCAGUUCAGCUUCUUGAUGCAUAUGAGUGGCUUAAAUCUGGUUUGUCCAAUUGGUGUGGCCUUUAGAAUCAGCAAGUUUUUGUUACUGUAUAAAUGAGUCACUGUGAGAUAAUAUUUUUUGUGAAUAUAGAAUAACCAAAACUCGAUAUUUUUGGUAUCAGCAUAAGAGAUUUUGAAAUGUUGUAGAGCCUGCAACCAAGGAGCUUCUGGAAGGACUGAUUGUGCCACUUAAUUAUUUGUUCCCUUGUGUAAGGUGUUGCUGAUGGAACAACCAUGAUCAUGUCGGAUUAUCAAAGUUCACACAAUGUUUGAACCUGGCAGGGAUCCAAGAAGAGAGAACGAAUAAGGAUUCGGGAGUAAUAAGAGAAACCACCGGCCUUCCGUUUUCAUUUCGGGCUAGAUUUUUGCCAACUUAAGCCAUCGACGCCAGCACUUCGUACCAAUCAACGCAUAUCAAGCCUAUAAAAGCGAUGUGUAUUUAGAUUAUUUAAAAAUGAGUGGGGAGUGGGAAAUAAAUUUUGAACAGCGCUGGGCUGACGAAAAUUUUAUCCAGCUCAAAACACUCAAGGACAUGGAUCUCCUGGUGAAGGAAAUUAAACAACGACUAAGUUCCAUUGGUAUUGAGGAGGCGAUUGAACCCAAUAUCACACCAUUAACAGAAAGUGAAAAGGCUCUGUUGCUCCAUGUCGUCCUCUACGGAGCUUUCUAUCCAAAUUACUUCACGCGUGACGCCGUCAGUGGCCAAAUAGAUGAAUUCGAAGAUCUCAAGAGUCUCUCUGGAUUGGAUCCCUUUAGCACGGUUCGACUACAAGGAUUCACUUUCUGCGAACCGCAUAAAGCAUAUGGCCCACAAAUGUUGAACAACAUUUCCAAUUUCCCAAUAAAAUGGUGCUAAUCAAUGUUGAUGUAACAAAGGAAAAUAACAUCAAACAGGUUGUCCCAAAAAUCAUGGAAGAAUCUACAGGAAAAAUAGACCUUCUUUUGAACUGCA